AGAGGAGAACCUGAGGAAAACAAGAUGGAAUAACGCUAUAACUGCAGAGCGGCUUCAAGAGAAAUGCAAGAGGCUUUCUCUAGAAAUGGAAUCGAAGCUGAGCGAGCAUGAGAAUCUGACGAAAAAAACAUUGGCUGAAGCCAACAACCUUCGUCUGCAAAACAAAACUCUUGAGGAAAUGCAAGAGAAAACACAUACCGAGAUUACACAAGAGAAAGAACAAAGGAAGCACGUGGAAGAGAAGAACAAAGCUUUGUCAAUGAAAGUCCAGAUGCUUGAAAGUGAGGUCCUGAAGCUCACAAAGCUGAGAGAUGAGUCGAGUGCAGCAGCUACUGAAACCGAGAAGAUAAUACAAGAGUGGAGGAAAGAAAGAGAUGAAUUUGAGAGAAAACUUUCUUUGGCUAAAGAAGUAGCCAAGACAGCGCAGAAAGAGUUAACUCUCACUAAGUCGUCAAAUGAUGAUAAAGAGACAAGGCUCAGGAAUUUGAAGACAGAAGUAGAAGGUCUAAGCCUACAGUACAGUGAAUUACAAAACAGCUUCGUUCAAGAAAAAAUGGAGAAUGAUGAACUGAGAAAACAAGUAUCAAACCUGAAAGUCGAUAUUCGGAGAAAAGAAGAAGAAAUGACUAAAAUCCUAGAUGCAAGGUAUGUGGACAAUAAACUAACUAAACUGGAAUGUUAUUUGCGUUAUGAAUAUUUGACUUAAUUAUGAUCUAACACGGAAAGUAAACAGGAUGGAAGCAAGGUCACAAGAAAACGGACACAAAGAGGAGAAUCUAUCAAAGCUAUCAGACGAAUUGGCGUAUUGUAAGAACAAAAACAGUUCAAUGGAGAGAGAGUUGAAAGAAAUGGAAGAGAGAUAUUCAGAGAUAAGCCUGAGAUUUGCAGAGGUAGAAGGAGAAAGACAACAACUUGUGAUGGCUGUCAGAAACCUCAAGAACGGUAAGAAGUUCUAGUAUUUGUAUGUCGCUGCGAAUACAGGUGUUGUCAGAUCAUAGUAGAAAUCACUAUAUAACUUGUACUGUUAAUAGAAUUCGUUUCUCUCAUAAAACAUUAUUUUAAACUUAUCAAGAAAUCAAUAUUUUCCACUGAAAUAAGUAACGCUUACAUAAGAUUUUGAGAUGCCCACUUCCAAAAUCUGAUCAUAUCCACUGAUUGGUUUUUGGUUAGUUUCCAAUUGCUACGCCGUGUUUGUUUCUUUACUUCCAUACAAGUUUUGUUUGGCCAGUUCCAUUCGCUGUGUAAGAUAGAGACUGGAAUGAAAAAAAAAAGAUGUUAAAGAAAUCAACGGUAUGAACAAAUCUCACUUCUAUAGGGAUCAUAUAUAAUGAAUACCUGUUUUGCUCGCUUAUCAAUUGGUGUGCAUGACUUAAGAGGCGAGUAAAAUCUCUCGUUUUUUGGUGAGGCUGAAGAAUUCUUUGACCGCUUCUGCCUCUUCUCUUCUUGAAGUUUGUUGCCUCCUUUAUACUUGAAAAACUCGAGUAUGGAUGGACUCUUUCUCUUGGUAUUAGCUUUCUUUAUGUUCCCUGGAGUCUCCAAACUAGGUGGAGAAGCAUAAGAAGGAAGAGAUUGUUGUUGUUUCCUUGCUCUGCUUCUUUCUCGAACUCUGUUAAGGAAAUCAACCGUCCAAGGAGAACUUUGUACUUGAUUUGAAGAACGGAUUGCGUUUGAUAGUGGAGAUCCACCAAAAUGUGAUAUUUCUUCUCUAAAUGGAAGCUCUGUUGUUGGAACUGCAGAUCUUCGUGUUAAGACCUCCUCCAAAAGGGUCCUUUGGCGUUUUGCUGGAUAGUUAUCAGCAUAGCCACGCAAAGAAGUGUUGUUAUCAUAUUUUGAAUCUUUCUCAGUGGCGUAUCUUUCAGAACUCGAGUCGAUGUCAGCCGCCUUUGGGAAGUUAGGCUGGAGAGAUCCAAAGAAAGAUAACUUCCUUGAAGAUUUUGAUUUUCUUGGAAGUUCCUCUUCAUUAACAUCAGAAACUAUUCGAGCAAACCUAUUAUAACCAGGAGAAGGCGGGAAGUCUUCCUCGAGAUACUUAUCAGCUCUGUCAAUUACUUCACCUUUGUAGUCUGCGAUGAAAUUCUCCGAGUUCCUAUUGUCAUGCAAGUUAAAAUCUCUCAUCACCGGAAAUUUACAUCCUCUGUUCUGGCUCAUGAAUUUGUCUUUAACUGGGAAACUCCAAUCUUCUAAUUCAGGAAUUCCAGGAAGACUGUCCUCCACUGAAAAAUCAGGCUGAUCUUUCUCCCAAAAUGUGUCCUUUGAUGAUGAACCAGGUCCUGACUUCUUGUCAAAUCUCUCAGGAUCUUUAGACGGCCAAGAGUCAUUGGGAUGACUGAUCCCAGAAGGUUUGAAAGGUGCAUCUGAGAAUUCAGUGACAGGGUCAAAAUGAAAGAUCUCAUGAUCUUUCGAUGACCAAGAAUCAUCAAGUUGGAAAUCCCCAGAAGACUUGAGCUGUGUAUCAGCAAAUUCUAUCGAGGGAGAAAAAUGCACCAAGUCGUCCAUAUCUAUCUCAUCUUUCUCAGCAAUGUACUGUUUCUUUUUUGAGCCAGAAUGGACACUGACAUGGUGUGUGUCUGAGUCAGGUCCAGAAGAUACCGAAGAAGAGCUGUCUGUCAUUACAGAUCUGGAGUCCUCCCUUGCUCCGUAUCUGCAUACUGAACUGAAUAGAUCAACACUCUCUUCAGGUACAUGAUACUUUUGCGUCCUUUCAACCUUGCUUUUAUGUGGGAGCUUCAUGAAUUCGAGAAGUGACCCAGAAGAUGACAGAAUUACUUGAGCUGUGAGUGGAUUCACGGAAGGAAACUUGGUGAGAAAUGAUUCUGCUAGAGAUUCUGACUCGGGCAUUUUGACAUGGAGUUUGGACAACUUAACAGAAGAUUUGAUACACUUCAAUAUAAUUUCAUCCGUGAGAUUAGCUGACGAUGAGCAAAACAUCUGUAAACUGAUUCCUAGGCUACCAGCUGCUGCAUACAGUUCAUCAGAGGAGUCCAUUACGGCAGCCAGGAAGGCGGGUUCCCCCUCAAAAACCUGUACGAAAAAUAACAAUCGUUCUUUAAGUUCUCUGGACUCAGUCUACAGUUUAGAAGAAAAUGUUGCAGAGACUUUAGUAUAUGAGUGAGUAUUAAACAUCUAGUAAGUUUGUAAUCAUCAAAUUAGCAAAAAUAAUAGAAGAUGAUUCUUAAAGUGAAAGGUCCACAUAUAUACUGCAACGUUCCCACAAAAGAACGGCAAAAAGCAAAGUUUGGUGGAAUUUACCAUAAUGCAAGUGCUGAAACUGAAACUCAAUGACGUCAAAACAUUAGUUGCGAUAUCUCCAAUCCAUGAAAGUGAACUUGAGGAAGUACCAAUAGUUGCAGCCGACUUCUUACUAACAGUUUCACUAUCAUACCAGAGUAGGCAAACUGCAGGACUUAACAUCAGGUCCACAGGUAGAUCUGAAUCGCGCUCCACAACUUGCACUCCUUCUUUUUCCAUUGCUAACACCUUCUGGUAUGUACUUCUUCUGGAUAUGAUCAUCUCCUUAUCGACAGUUUUUGUGUUCACAACAAUCACAGAUCUUUGGUCAGAGAGACCCUGUUCAAUUAUCCCACGUUUUCUUUCAGAUUCUUGAGGCAUGGAGAUAAAUUCAGAUUCAUUUGUGGUUUCGGAAGAUCCUGCAUAACACACUUUUUCAAGUGGAACAAAGUUCAACACUUCUUCCAACCACCCAGUUUUCGUCUCAACUUCGUCUCCCUACAAAAGAGAUAAUAGUGUACAUAGGUUCUCGUAUCUGCAUAUUCUGGAACAUAUUCAAACAAAGCGUUCAAAAUAUGCAGUUAUGGAAUAAACGUGAAUACCACUGAUGUGACAACACAAUUUUAGGUUAAAGUACAUACUAAUGUUAAACUUGCAUAAUUUUCAGUGUUGCAAAACCAAUCAAGAUCAUAUGCUCAUGAAAGUACUAUUUGUGAUACAGAUUGAUCUACUGCUCUGAAUUUGAACCCUUCACACAGACUCUUCCAUCGUAAUAUACAAUCUACCAAUAUAACUUGUAAGAAAAGGUUGAAUGUUUCUCACCUUUAUCAUUUUGAGACUAUAAGGUACUGUAACACCUGCACAGAGUUGCCCGCAUGCACUGGGCAUAUCCAGCUCCACUUUUAUGAAAUGAAAGGAAGGAAAGGAAUCCAACUUUGAAGGAAAAGAAUAUCUGGGCGAGGCAUUUGGACCUCCAUAUUCUACAAUGACGCUGAAAUUCUCCACAGGAAAAGAUGGAGAAAUUUGCCUUAGAUGAAAAAGAAAGGACUAGUUAGCUUAACUACUCCCAAAAGACAAUUUCACUAAAAGAUAUUGAACAAAGAAUCGAUAAAGCUAUGUUUUAGCAUGCAAAGAACAAUAAUGCAGCAAUUUCACGAGCAGAGAAGUAACAACAUUUUGUGGUAUCUCUUACAAUCACCAUGCUAAAAGACUGAAAAUGCUUUUCAGGCCGCAAUAUAUCAAUUCUUUGGUUCCCUUUCUAGUUCCCAAAAAAUUCAACUGUGAAAAGCUAUGAUCAUUGAUAAUGAGGAUAUGGCUAUAGGAAGAAAUAAUACUCACUCGUAAGAGAUAAUUAGACAGUCUGAAAUCGGCAGGAAACCAAGUUCUAUGGCUUCAUGAACAUUUGGUCGAUUUCCACUUGGGGAGGGACUGUUGAGGUCAUUGUAAGAUAACCCCAUGGACAUCAGUAGCCUCUUCAGCGAGGACCAAAACACUUUCUCAGCCAAAAGUAAUGCUUUGGAGUUCCCCCGGGCAAAUUCUGACUGUAAAAUCCCCUGGAUAACAGCUAGUGAUGGAUGUGAUCUUGUGAUGUCUGUCUCAUCUGAUUUGUGUUCUGUUUCAACUGCUGAGUAGAGGGUGUGCAAUCCUAUCUUCAUGGGAUUUGAGCUUCGACAUACCUUGUUAAGAUAGAUAUAUGCCACAUGGAUACCGAAGAAACACAUAUACCAUGUCAUCUGUUUAAUUGCUAAUAGUAAUGCAAACGUGAAAGUCUUAUCAUCCGCCAACUGUGUUUUGUGGACAUUUGCCUUUCUUAUGCAGUCAAUAAGCUUUCCUUUAGAUAUGCUGAGUAACUUAAGUUUAUCUUCUGAUAAAUUCUCUGAUUCAUCCUUCACAAGAGUUAAAUAGCUCUUCACAAAUUCCCCAACAAGAGCCUGAAUAUUUUCUGAAGGGCGCACACUGUGAAGUAUCAUUUCCUCUGUCUUCGGGUUUGGGUGCAUACCACCAGAUCUACAUGAAGCCUUCGAGUCAAUAGACAUACAUUUAUGGUUGGUAGUCUUAGCAGCUUCGACUCUAGACUCGAGAUUAUCUUCAAUCACAGCCUUCUUCGGAUCCAUGAAAAAGGUUAAGUCAUCAAAAGCAGACAUUGAUUUGAACAACAGCGUAGCCUUCUUAGCAUUAUCAUCCACUGCACAAUCCCUUGCUCCUGUUUUUUGGAAAGGGUUUUCCAAUAACCCAUGCGAAGUAUUAACAGGAGCAUGCUCAUCAAGGUUAGAUAUACCAUAGAAAGGUUCAGUGCAUUUCUCUACAAGUGGCUCGCAGAAAGCAUCUUCAGAGAAAAUGAAAUCAUAAACCCAUUUGUCUCCUUCUGAAGCUUCCCAGUUAUAAUCAAUGUUGAAUGUAACUAUUUCUUCAAACGGAUAAUCACAAUGGUUGUGGUUUCUUUCCUCAAGAAGGUUCCACGGCAAGUAUAUGUCAUUUGAGGCAGACAAGGAUUGAGGCUUGAUCUUUGACAAAACAUCCUCAUAAAUGAGCUCCAGAGAUCUUGUCAUCUCAUAAUCAUGUAAAAUAGGAGUAGGCAAAGACUUGAAGGCAUCAUCUGUGAAGGCAAGUUCGGAACUGACAACUAAUUCAUCGAAAUCCUUGAAGUUCAUCUCUUUACUGAACAUACCGUAACAGAUUUCUGGUUCAAUGGCUUUUUGAAGACAAAGGAAGAUAUCAAAAACAUCAGAGAUAUCCACAUCCAGGAUCUGGAAUUCCUCAUAAGUUACUGGUACAGCCACCUUUCCCUGAAAUUCCUCAGCAUUUGAUAUUUCCAGGAUAGUCACUAUAUCCAUUUCAGAAAAUUCAUCCUCUGGUACCACAUCAGAUUGGCCACUCUUGUUCAAAUAGCAAUCCGUAGAGAGUACAUCCAAUAGAUCAUAAUCCUUUGAGCCUAUAAGCUCCUUAGAAUUGAUAAUGAGAGAACUCCCUGCAUUAGUGUCUUGGGGUUCAAUCGUCUCAAGAACAGUAAAUACUUUAUCAAGCACAGAUAAGCUUGAUAGUUCGCUCAAGUUUACUUCAUCCACUUCUAGAAGGGGAAAUCUGGCAUCUUUGAACCAUGGUUGAAUCUUGCGGAAGCAUUCAUUUUCUGCUACAGAAGUGUUGUUCUCUGUAAAGUAAUCAGAAGGAAUGUAAUCAACAGAAUAAAUCUGCUCUUGAAUGUCCUUUGAGUUCUGCAGGAUAAUAUCUGACCCCUCAUAUUUAACCUGCAAUAAGAAGACUAGCUAAAAUCAGAUGAUGCCAAGAACAGGAACCAGCUCUACCACUCUACAGCAAAAGCAAAAACUACUGUUGUGUGUGCCAACUAAAAUCAACUCAGGGAUUUACCGGGUCAUUUUUGAUCUCUAGAACUUCAGAGAAACAUUGGAGAUGAUCCUCACUCGUGCAUAAGAGCUUGUUCUCCUGUAUAUCAAAAGAUGCUUUAUCUCGCAAUGAAAAAGAAAAAGCUGAACUAGUUCAAUUAGUACAAUGCUUACACAGCUUGAGCAAUACCAUCUCAAAAUCCAACUCUGGAGUCUCCAACUCAAUAAUUUUAGGUGUAGCUUUAUCCGCAAUGGCAUCUCCGUCAUCCUUCUGCAAAUAGAUCAUAACUUCGGUUUUCAAACUCCGGUAAGAUUCGCUUAAGCUACCAAAAUUUCCAACCCAAGUAUGAAUAUAAGAUCUAAGCAACAAUCAGAAAUGGAAACUGAGAAAACACACCACAAAUUUCGAAAAAUCUACAACCAAUCUCACUAUAAGAAACAAAGGACCGUUGACAGAAACAGUCAGCGAGACUCAGGAAAUUCGAAAUUUCACCUCCAGGAACUGAUAAUAUCUAGAUCGAAGGAACUUUACCUCGUCUGAGUAAUAAACUCCGAGCGAAGAGUCGUCGAUUUCAAAAACUCGAUAGUCCACACUGACGCGGUCGGGAACCACGUCGGAAAGGAACUUCGACAAAGCAGCUUCAAUAGGCAAAUUUCCGAUAGGGAUACUAACAUUUUCGAUCGAGCCAAAUCGGAGACGGUCUUCUUCUCCGUUGUAGACGAUGGGUGCCGGGAAAUUAUCAGGAGCCGGAAGAUUGAGGAAGCCUAGGGUUUCAAAUACGUGAGAAGGUGGAGUAGAGAAGUAAUCGAUGUUGAGAAAUCGAGUUCGCAUCGUAAUUUUCUAGAUCCGUCUUGGGAGCUCAGACUGUAUCAGUGAUGAUGAUGAUGAUGAAGAAGAGAACGAAUUUUGAAAUUGGCGGUUUUGAAUUUUUAAGAAAUUAAAAAAUAUCCCCCGUCGAUUUCAAGAGGGAGAUGGAGAUACCAAAGCAACUCUCGCCACUUGUCGUCUUUUAAUUUUAAUUGAGUACGUUAUGCCGUUUUAAAUGUUCAAAACAGCACACAGUUGAUAGCUGAAUUGAUUUUUUCUUUUGCCGUUUUGUUAUAUUUAAACAACACACAGUGCAUUUGCCAAAUAACUACAUGAUGGGCCAAUAAACGUGGACCGACUAAAACUAAAUAAUAGAAGAUACAUCGAUAGGCUUCUCUAAAGAUCGGAUAAAAGAUAAUGUCGCAUAGCCACGUAGAGAGCAACUGGCUGAGACGUGGCAGGACGAAACGGACGCAUCGUACGUGUCAGAAUCCUACAGAAGUAAAGAGACAGAAGCCAGAGAGAGGUGGUUCGGCCAUAUGUCAUCGUUCUCUCUAUAAACUUUAUGGAACUUUGUUCUGAUUUUCUCAGAGACACGAAAAGAAAGAAAACAACACUAGAACAAAGAGGGUUUGAUUGAUUCACUUGAAAAAGAGAAAACACAGCUUUGGAAAAUGGAGUCACAGUUGACACGUCCUUAUGGUCAUGAGCAAGCAGAAGAACCAAUCAGAAUUCACCAUCCAGGUAUAUAUAUAUCUAUGACAGAAGAUUCUAAUUUGAGAACUUUUCUCUUAAUUUGCCUUAUUUAUUGUGAUUCGGAUACAGAAGAAGAAGAGCAUCAUGAGAAGGGAGCAUCCAAAGUGUUGAAGAAAGUAAAAGAAAAGGCUAAGAAAAUCAAGAACAGUCUCACUAAACAUGGAAAUGGUCAUGAUCACGAUGUGGAAGAUGAUGAUGAUGAGUAUGACGAGCAAGACCCAGAAGUUCACGGCGCACCAGGUUAAUUUCUCUGUAUUAAAGUCCUCGUCAAUCAGCAGUUAUAUUUUUUUGUGUAUUAACGGUUUUUCUGUUUUUUUAUGUGUAUGCACAGUGUAUGAAUCCUCUGCCGUGAGAGGUGGUGUAACGGGUAAACCUAAGUCUCUUAGUCAUGCCGGAGAAACUAAUGUUCCGGCAUCGGAGGAGAUUGUUCCUCCAGGGACAAAAGUUUUUCCUGUCGUGUCUUCUGACCACACCAAACCCAUUGAGCCUGUAUCAUUACAAGAUACCUCUUACGGACAUGAGGCACUGGCUGAUCCUGUAAGAACGACGGAAACAUCGGACUGGGAAGCGAAAAGAGAGGCACCGACUCAUUAUCCUCUCGGAGUGUCAGAAUUUUCAGACAGAGGAGAGAGCAGAGAGGCUCAUCAAGAGCCAUUGAACACUCCUGUGUCUCUGCUUUCAGCAACAGAGGACGUGACUAGGACGUUUGCUCCUGGUGGUGAAGAUGACUAUCUCGGUGGUCAACGGAAAGUCAACGUCGAGACGCCAAAACGUUUGGAGGAAGAUCCGGCUGCUCCAGGAGGAGGAUCGGAUUAUCUCAGUGGUGUAUCUAAUUAUCAGUCCAAAGUUACUGAUCCCACGCAUAAAGGUAAUGACUUUGGCCGAGACUUUUUUUAGGGUUUAUGAAUCUGUAAUAACUCUUGUCUGUUCUGUUUAAGGUGGAGAAGCUGGAGUACCAGAGAUUGCUGAGUCUCUUGGUAGAAUGAAAGUGACUGAUGAGUCUCCUGAUCAGAAAUCAAGACAAGGACGCGAAGAAGACUUUCCGACGAGAAGCCAUGAGUUUGAUCUGAAGAAGGAAUCUGAUAUCAACAAGAAUUCUCCGGCAAGAUUUGGAGGGGAAUCAAAAGCUGGGAUGGAGGAAGAUUUUCCGACAAGAGGUGAUGUGAAAGUAGAGAGUGGAUUGGGAAGAGACUUACCGACGGGAACUCAUGAUCAGUUCUCACCAGAACUAUCUCGUCCCAAAGAGAGAGAUGAUUCUGAGGAAACCAAAGAUGAGUCGACACAUGAGACAAAACCAAGCACCUACACAGAGCAGUUAGCUUCAGCUACAUCAGCCAUAACUAACAAAGCUAUAGCCGCAAAGAACGUCGUUGCCUCAAAGCUAGGUUACACCGGAGAGAAUGGCGGCGGGCAAAGCGAGAGCCCUGUAAAAGAUGAAACUCCGAGAUCUGUUACUGCUUACGGGCAGAAAGUGGCGGGAACUGUUGCUGAGAAGUUGACUCCGGUUUACGAAAAAGUCAAAGAAACAGGAUCAACGGUGAUGACAAAGCUACCUCUCUCCGGAGGUGGAAGUGGAGUGAAGGAGACGCAACAAGGGGAAGAGAAAGGUGUGACGGCUAAAAAUUAUAUAUCAGAGAAGCUGAAACCUGGAGAAGAGGACAAAGCUUUAUCGGAAAUGAUAGCUGAGAAACUUCAUUUUGGAGGAGGAGGAGAGAAGAAGACAACGGCUACAAAGGAGGUGGAAGUGACGGUUGAGAAGAUACCUUCCGACCAGAUAGCGGAGGGGAAAGGACAUGGUGAGGCGGUUGCAGAGGAAGGAAAAGGUGGAGAAGGAAUGGUGGGGAAAGUUAAAGGAGCGGUCACUUCUUGGCUCGGUGGUAAACCGAAGUCGCCACGGUCCGUUGAAGAGUCUCCACAAUCACUUGGCACCACCGUUGGUAAAACUCCCUCGUCCUUGUGUUACACGUAAUGUUAAGAUUUUGAUGUGUGUAUUAUUUUUGUAAUUUUACUCAAAAUGUUUUGGUUGCUAUGGUAGGGACUAUGGGGUUUUCGGAUUCCGGUGGAAGUGAGUUGGGAGGCAGUGGCGGAGGUAAGGGAGUUCAAGAUUCUGGGAACUGAAGAUUUGGGGUUUUGCUUUUGAAUGUUUGUGUUUUUGUAUGAUGCCUCUGUUUGUGAACUUUGAUGUAUUUUAUCUUUGUGUGAAAAAGAGAUUGGGUUAAUAAAAUAUUUGCUUUUUUGGAUAAGAAACUCUUUUAGCGGCCCAUUAAUAAAGGUUACAAAUGCAAAAUCAUGUUAGCGUCAGAUAUUUAAUUAUUCGAAGAUGAUUGUGAUAGAUUUAAAAUUAUCCUAGUCAAAAAGAAAGAGUAGGUUGAGCAGAAACAGUGACAUCUGUUGUUUGUACCAUACAAAUUAGUUUAGAUUAUUGGUUAACAUGUUAAAUGGCUAUGCAUGUGACAUUUAGACCUUAUCGGAAUUAAUUUGUAGAAUUAUUAAUUAAGAUGUUGAUUAGUUCAAACAAAAAUUUUAUAUUAAAAAAUGUAAACGAAUAUUUUGUAUGUUCAGUGAAAGUAAAACAAAUUAAAUUAACAAGAAACUUAUAGAAGAAAAUUUUUACUAUUUAAGAGAAAGAAAAAAAUCUAUCAUUUAAUCUGAGUCCUAAAAACUGUUAUACUUAACAGUUAACGCAUGAUUUGAUGGAGGAGCCAUAGAUGCAAUUCAAUCAAACUGAAAUUUCUGCAAGAAUCUCAAACACGGAGAUCUCAAAGUUUGAAAGAAAAUUUAUUUCUUCGACUCAAAACAAACUUACGAAAUUUAGGUAGAACUUAUAUACAUUAUAUUGUAAUUUUUUGUAACAAAAUGUUUUUAUUAUUAUUAUAGAAUUUUACUGGUUAAAUUAAAAAUGAAUAGAAAAGGUGAAUUAAGAGGAGAGAGGAGGUAAACAUUUUCUUCUAUUUUUUCAUAUUUUCAGGAUAAAUUAUUGUAAAAGUUUACAAGAUUUCCAUUUGACUAGUGUAAAUGAGGAAUAUUCUCUAGUAAGAUCAUUAUUUCAUCUACUUCUUUUAUCUUCUACCAGUAGAGGAAUAAACAAUAUUUAGCUCCUUUGUAAAUACAAAUUAAUUUUCGUUCUUGACAUCAUUCAAUUUUAAUUUUACGUAUAAAAUAAAAGAUCAUACCUAUUAGAACGAUUAAGGAGAAAUACAAUUCGAAUGAGAAGGAUGUGCCGUUUGUUAUAAUAAACAGCCACACGACGUAAACGUAAAAUGACCACAUGAUGGGCCAAUAGACAUGGACCGACUACUAAUAAUAGUAAGUUACAUUUUAGGAUGGAAUAAAUAUCAUACCGACAUCAGUUUGAAAGAAAAGGGAAAAAAAGAAAAAAUAAAUAAAAGAUAUACUACCGACAUGAGUUCCAAAAAGCAAAAAAAAAGAUCAAGCCGACACAGACACGCGUAGAGAGCAAAAUGACUUUGACGUCACACCACGAAAACAGACGCUUCAUACGUGUCCCUUUAUCUCUCUCAGUCUCUCUAUAAACUUAGUGAGACCCUCCUCUGUUUUACUCACAAAUAUGCAAACUAGAAAACAAUCAUCAGGAAUAAAGGGUUUGAUUACUUCUAUUGGAAAGAAAAAAAUCUUUGGAAAAUGGAUCAAACAGAGGAACCACCACUCAACACACACCAGCAGCACCCAGGUAGAUUCUAAUUUCAGAAACUUAUAUUUUUUUUAAGUGACAAUCCUCUGAAUUUACUUAAACUUAUUGUGAUUUAUGGAUACAGAAGAAGUUGAACAUCAUGAGAAUGGUGCGACUAAGAUGUUUAGGAAAGUAAAGGCUAGAGCUAAGAAGUUCAAGAACAGUCUCACUAAACAUGGACAAAGCAAUGAGCAUGAGCAAGAUCAUGAUUUGGUUGAAGAAGAUGAUGAUGAUGACGAGCUAGAACCUGAAGUGAUCGAUGCACCAGGUUACUUUCUUUUGUAGUUUCAUUCAACUUAUGAUCUAAAAACUAUUGGUUAUUCAAUUUUGCGUGACAUUAACGGUUUGGUAUCUGUAUAUGCAGGCGUAACAGGUAAACCUAGAGAAACUAAUGUUCCAGCAUCGGAGGAAAUUAUUCCACCAGGGACAAAGGUGUUUCCUGUCGUGUCUUCCGAUUACACCAAACCCACUGAAUCUGUACCAGUACAAGAGGCCUCUUACGGACACGAUGCACCGGCUCAUUCUGUAAGGACGACGUUUACAUCGGACAAGGAAGAGAAAAGAGAUGUACCGAUUCAUCAUCCUCUGUCCGAAUUGUCAGACAGAGAAGAGAGUAGAGAGACUCAUCAUGAGUCAUUGAACACUCCGGUCUCUCUGCUUUCUGGAACAGAGGAUGUAACGAGUACGUUUGCUCCAAGUGGUGAUGAUGAAUAUCUUGAUGGUCAACGGAAGGUCAACGUCGAGACCCCGAUAACGUUGGAGGAAGAGUCGGCUGUUUCAGACUAUCUUAGUGGUGUAUCUAAUUAUCAGUCCAAAGUUACUGAUCCCACCAAAGAAGGUAAGAACUUUGACCUUUUAAGAUUGUGUUUUUCUUUAGUGAUUAUGAAUAUGUAAUAACUCUGUUACGUUGUGUUUGGUUUAGAAACUGGAGGAGUACCGGAGAUUGCUGAGUCUUUUGGUAAUAUGGAAGUGACUGAUGAGUCUCCUGAUCAGAAGCCAGGACAAUUUGAAAGAGACUUGUCGACGAGAAGCAAAGAAUUCAAAGAGUUUGAUCAGGACUUUGACUCUGUUCUCGGUAAGGAUUCGCCGGCGAAAUUUCCAGGUGAAUCAGGAGUUGUUUUCCCGGUGGGCUUUGGUGACGAGUCAGGAGCUGAGCUGGAAAAAGAUUUUCCGACGAGAAGUCAUGAUUUUGAUAUGAAGACUGAAACUGGAAUGGACACGAAUUCUCCAUCAAGAAGCCAUGAAUUUGAUCUGAAGACUGAAUCUGGAAACGACAAGAAUUCUCCGAUGGGCUUUGGUAGUGAAUCAGGAGCUGAGCUGGAAAAAGAAUUUGAUCAGAAGAACGAUUCUGGAAGAAACGAGUAUUCGCCGGAAUCUGACGGCGGUUUAGGAGCUCCGUUGGGAGGAAAUUUUCCGGUGAGAAGUCAUGAGUUGGAUCUGAAGAACGAAUCUGAUAUCGACAAGGAUGUGCCGACGGGAUUUGACGGAGAACCAGAUUUUCUGGCGAAGGGAAGACCUGGAUACGGUGAGGCAUCAGAAGAGGAUAAAUUUCCGGCGAGAAGUGAUGAUGUGGAAGUAGAGACUGAGCUGGGAAGAGACCCAAAGACGGAGACUCUUGAUCAAUUCUCACCGGAACUUUCUCAUCCUAAAGAAAGAGAUGAGUUUAAGGAGUCCAGAGAUGAUUUUGAGGAGACGAGAGAUGAGAAAACAGAGGAGCCAAAACAGAGCACUUACACAGAGAAGUUUGCUUCAAUGCUAGGUUACUCCGGAGAAAUUCCGGUGGGAGAUCAAACUCAAGUGGCGGGAACUGUUGAUGAGAAGUUGACUCCGGUCAAUGAGAAGGAUCAAGAAACAGAGUCUGCCGUGACGACGAAGUUACCUAUCUCCGGAGGUGGAAGUGGAGUAGAGGAGCAACGAGGGGAAGAUAAAAGUGUGUCGGGUAGAGAUUAUGUGGCGGAGAAACUGACAACUGAAGAAGAAGACAAAGCCUUUUCUGAUAUGGUUGCCGAGAAAC
rnacentral:lncRNA from 1 species